rnacentral:rRNA from 1 species
GACGAACGCUGGCGGCGUGCUUAACACAUGCAAGUCGAACGGCAAGGCCCUGCUUUUGUGGGGUGCUCGAGUGGCGAACGGGUGAGUAACACGUGAGUAACCUGCCCUUGACUUUGGGAUAACUUCAGGAAACUGGGGCUACUACCGGAUAGGAGCUCCUGCUGCAUGGAGGGCGUUGGAAAGUUUCGGCGGUUGGGGAUGGACUCGCGGGUUAUCAGCUUGUUGGUGGGGUAGUGGUUUACCAAGGCUUUGACGGGUACCCGGCCUGGGAGGGUGACCGGCCACAUGGGGACUGAGAUACGGCCCAGACUCCUACGGGAGGCAGCAGUGGGGAAUAUUGCACAAUGGGCGGGAGCCUGAUGCAGCAACGCCGCGUGCGGGAUGACGGCCUUCGGGUUGUAAACCGCUUUCGCCUGUGACGAAGCGUGAGUGACGGUAAUGGGUAAAGAAGCACCGGCUAACUACGUG